AUGGCCGUCACCCUAGUCAUGGUGGCGGUGGUGGUGGUGAUGGUGGCCACAUCAUCCAUGCCGGUGGCGAGGGGGCAAGAUCUAGAGAAGGAUGAUGCCUCCACCAGCUGCCCGGGCGAGUACUCGAAGCUCUGCGGCGAGGACCCCGCGUGCACCGCCAUGGUCGAGACGGCCUGCCGCACCGAUGCCGACAGCGUCGAGUCCAUCAAGGGCAUGUUCGCCGAGCUCGCCAAGGUCGGUGGAGACAGCAAGGGUUUUGCUUUCACGGAAUGGCCGUGGGGGCACGUGGCCCUCUGCGCGGCCGUCAACGAGCAUGGGGCCUGCCCCGGCAACAAGACGGUCGAAAAAUUUGCUGACGAACACUGCAUAAACGACCUCAGCGUGACAUGCCUGGACCCUAUCUGCCACGACGGUGCUCGCGUCGAGUGCUACCGUACAGCCUCGAGAUUUUGCUACAUCAAGGCCAACCCCGCUGAUAAGAAAGCCAUACAGCAAAACUUGGAUUGCUUCAAGAGCUGUUGCGCAGAGAAGAAGAAAAGUGAAGAGUGCCGUAAAGAAUGCAUCCUCAACAAGAGUAGUCCGGCCGCUUGA
rnacentral:rRNA from 1 species